rnacentral:rRNA from 1 species
UACGAAGGGUGCAAGCGUUACUCGGAAUUACUGGGCGUAAAGCGUGCGUAGGCGGUUUGUUAAGUCCGUUGUGAAAGCCCUGGGCUCAACCUGGGAAUUGCAGUGGAUACUGGCGAGCUAGAGUGCGGUAGAGGAUGGUGGAAUUCCCGGUGUAGCAGUGAAAUGCGUAGAGAUCGGGAGGAACACCAGUGGCGAAGGCGGCUACCUGGACCAGCACUGACACUGAGGCACGAAAGCGUGGGGAGCAAACAGG